rnacentral:tRNA from 1 species
UCUCUUGUAGCUUAGUUGGUAAAGAAUCUGCCUGCAAUGCAGGAGACCCGGGUUCAAUUCCUGGGUCGGGAA